GACGGCAGGUCCUGGAGGGAGGCGCCCGCUGCAGCGCAGCAGGGCAGCGUCGCGGAGGGGUGGGCGUCGUGGCAGGGGCGCAGACGGGGCCUGGGCGACCCGCGGAGGCCGGGGGCUCCACGCCUGCUCACGUCCUCCCAGUCACCUUCCCGGACGUCCCGCGGUCUUCGUAAACCUGGAAACGGAGUUAAGCCAGCAGACACGCCUGUGAGCUAGAGUCCGGAUCCUGCAGCCGGAGCCGGAGCCGGAGCAGCGCCGGACCCGCACAUUCUCGACCACGCCCCCCCCAACCUGGCUGCUCACCUCCCCGUUUUACACCACUUCAGAGGCACACAUUAUUCUCUGGCUGAUAAGACAGAUCAGCCUGCCUUCCAGGAAAAAUGCGGAUAUUAUUUGCAAAGGCUGGAAAAGCAGGUGCUCUCCAGCUUAUCUGAAUAUUGUGAGUAAAUCCCUGUUUUGAAAUGUAAAUGCUUCCGCAGGCUGUCUGGUUUGAGAUAAAGCAGGGAACAAUGAGUUAAUCCUUGUUUUAUGCAGUGCAUUAUCAGAAGUCUGCAGCCACUCUGGUCACCUCUUCAAGUAGAAUGGAGGUCACACCCAGGUGGAUGACUCCUUGCCCCUGUAAAUCGCAUUUAUUGAAUCAGAGUAGACAUAAACACGCACUUACAUAUGCACUGUGGAAAGAUGAUUGUUUUAAGUAUUUAUUUAACAUUAAAUAUCUCAGUACUUUCUAAAACUGUUUUGUUGUCAUGCAAAAGGCAGAAUUUCUUUUUUCUUCCAGGGUGAAAUUGAAUGUAUUUAUCUCCAAGAAACAUGAUUUAAUCUUUCAAACCCACUAUGGGAAGGGUGAAAUCUCUGAUUUUUUUUAUCUUUAAAUAAUUACAUAGAAAAAAAUUAAAAUGCAGUAAUCUGACCAUGGCCUAUUCACCUAAAUCCUAUCAACACUCUUCUUUCUUCUCUAAUGUCUUUCCCAGAAUAAACAAACAAGCAAGCAAUAUGACCUCAAAAAAAAAGGAGGGGGGAUUGAAGUUCUGGUAUUUAGAGGGUAUUCCUUUUUUAUUGCCAUAGCACACACCUUAUUGCUGAAGAAAUUAUUUAAAAAGUAUCCAAUUCCAAUUCAUGCAUUUUACCUUGUCUCCUGGAUAAUACUUUUGGGAAAAGGCAUUUUAAUAAUUGAUACCCCCACUCCAUUUUGCCUCUGCAGGGCUCUCUCCAGUUCAUUUCAUUAGAAUAUGUUUUCUCUGCCUUAUUUCCUCACAGAUUCUUGUUUCUGUCUUUAUUUCCCCAUGUGAUGACCAAAGCCGCUCCUUCUGCUGCUCCCUGUCUCUCUUCAAAAAGGACUUCCCCUCAACUGCACUGAGCUGUCUUUCCCAGGGCAGAGCCGAGGGUCUGUCUCUAUUAUCCUUCCGGACCCCAAGGGCUCCUCAUGGAGUGGGCUGGUCCUGCAGCAUUCCAUAUACUCAUGCUGUACCUUCAUCUUUGGAGCUUUCUACCUCUCUAUAUUCCACUAGGAGAAUAUGAUAUUGAAAAGAAAGAAGGUGGCUUAAAACAUUUGCUCUGGGAAUUUGUAGGGUUGGCACUGAAGGGUAUUUCAUUGGGUAGAUUCAAACAAAAGCAUCUUUUUCUUCUGUGUCCCUCAUGGUCACCAAAGACAGCAGCUCCUCCCUUGUUUGUUGAAGACAGGAGCUGGGCAGGAGGAGAUAAGAGUUGAUUCAUGUCUCAAGAAUAUUGACUUGCAAGUACAUAUUUGCAUAACUAAUUACUGGGGAGUCCUGCAAGUCUCUCAGGAGUUACUUAAGAGCUGAUUUGUAAAAGACAUCUAAAGAGGGUGAAAGUAAAUGAAGAAAUUUGGGUCACCGCGCAAGCGUUAAUGCUGUGACUGAGUCACCACGCUACAGAGGAUGACUGUGGUUUGCACUCACAGCUCUCUGUGUAUGAAAACACAGCUGCCAACUUCUUGAAGAACCAAUUUUUAAUUUGUUUACAUUGAAAAGCAAUUCUCAGGAUGUAGUUUAAAGUCACAAAAUAAAAGCCUCAAGUUAAAGGCCUAUACUGAAGUCCUGAAACCUGACCCUUCCAGAGCUGGCUUGUCUCAGGCCCAGCGGCCCCACACAGGGCAAGUGGCAGCUGUCUAUUCAUCCUGGACAAAGUGGGAAUUGCAAAGAAAGACAUGCAUCCAGCUGUUUUGCAGGCACUUCUUCCCUCCAGCAGCCCAAACUGGAGAAGUACAGGAGACUUCAGAGAGAAGAGCACCUUUCCCAGUCCUGGGCAGGGCGUGCGUCUGAGCUGAUGUGGGAGUGUGGCCAUCAGCACCCGUGUGCAGGGACAGCUGCAUCAUGUCGCCUGCUCCCUCAGGCCAUCUCCCAGGAUUUCAGAUGGAUGCAAACUUGCACUUGGGCAGGCUCAAUGCAGAAGCAGGCAGCCCCUGGGCUGCUAUGAAUUUACAUCCAGGGCCAUGAUUUUCUUCCAGUAUUUAGGAGCACCUUCAUAAACAUGUCUCUAAGGCACAACUUAUAGUAGCAAAACACAAAACAGAACAAAAAGGAGUAUUUUUGUGUAGAAGAAUAAAAGCAAAUACAUAGAGGCUUAGUGAUUCAUUAAAUAGAGUUUGCCACUGCUUGACAGUUUUCAAUGACGUUGAUGCUUUCUUUUUUUAAGACACAUUUAUUCAAUGUCAUGAGCAAACUAUCCAUCAAUGUCAUGAGUGCAAAAAAUUGUAUGAAAACCCUUGUUGGAAUGCUUUAGACUUUGUAAAGAACAGAAACAAAAUAACUGGUUACACAAUUAGUCACCAAUGGAGUUCUUGAGUUUCUUUUGCCCACACACACAAGCAAUGUGUAAAACAGGUCUUCUUUCUGGCAGCUGGGCCCUGACGCUGCUAUGCUUGGAUGAACUCACAAAUCUGGUACAGCCUCUCCCUUCCCUGUCAAUUCCCUGGCCUCCUCCACUGCUAAGCUUUGUUCCCUGGUGGUUAUUAAAAGUUUCUGCCAACCAAGAUGGCACUAGAGAUAAAGGAGGAAGCUCCUAACUUUCUAAAAUCCAAACCCAAAGCAAAAGAUUUGAAGGUCAGGAAGGCUGUGCAGAAAGACAGCUAUUAAAAAAUUCUGUACAUCACCCAAAAUCUGGUAACUCACAACACUACUCCUCUGAUGGUGGUCAAGCAUCCUUGGGAAGCACCCCCCAGGAGAAACAAGCUUGACCACCAGGCCAUUAUCAAGUUCACCACUGAGUCUGCCAUGAAGAUAGAGGACAGCAUCACACUCCUGUCCAUAUUUGGUGUCAAGGCCAUCAAACUCCAAAUCAAACAAGCUGUGAAGAAACUCUGUGACAUUGCUGUAGCCAAAGUCAAUAGCCUGAUCAGGCCUGAUGGAGAGAAGAUGGUAUGUGUUCCAACUGGCUCCCGAUUACGGUGCUUUGGAUGUCACCAACAAAGCUGGGGUCGUCUCCACUGAGUCCAGCUGGCUAGUUCUAACAAAUUUUUCUCGCCACCGCCAUAACCACUGCUGCUGUCAGAAGUGCCACAGCCACCAUGAUUUCAAGGUUUGGCAAAAUAUUGAUUGCCAUCUCUAUAGAGGCCAGAGCUUCCAUUUCCAAAGUUCACACACACAAGCAUUUGAAAACUGACUGCUAUAAUUUUCAGUAUCAUUGUGUCUUCCACCAUCUCUAUAACUGCUUCCAUCAUUGCCAAAUCCAUGGUAACCAUUCCCACCGCCACCAUACCCACCACCCCCUCGACUGCCACCAGAGCCACCAUGACCACUGAAGUUCCUCGAUGACCAGAUUUGUCACUGCCACCAAAACCACCUCCAUGAUCAUCACCACCAUUUCCAGAAUGACCGUGAGCUCUUGUGGUAUAUGAAGCACUGGCCAUCUCCUGCUUCCACGGGGCCUACCUCACUCCACAAUUGUGACCACUCACCGGACGGUGUUUCUGAGGGACAGUCUUAUCCAGAGUCGUGUUCAUCAACAGUCACAAAGGCAAAGUGCCUCUUCUUCCCAUGGGCAUGGUCAGUCAUUAUCUCAGCCACUUUGAUUUUCCCACACUGCAAAUUCAUCUCUGAGCUGAUGUCCUUCAGUGUCCUCUUCAACACCACCCUGACAGUCUUUCCAUAGUUAGGUGGGCCCCUGGGCUUUGAGAAUCUUCCUUUGGGACAGCACCUGUGACUCCACCUCUCUUCCAUCCACCAUAUGGCCUUGCCUCCUUGAUGGCAUCCACCUCCUCCAUGAUUAGGUAGUUGGCAACGCAAAGUCCCUGGAGCACUUGGUGUUUGGCUCCCUCAUCUCUGCACAGUCUGUGAGUCUUCUGCUGCCUCAGAGUGGCUCCUCCGACUCUCCUCUGGGUCUCAAAUCUCAGUUCUCUGAGUAAGAGAUUCCACAGCUGUCAGACUCUUCAGGAGGCUCUGAUGUAGACCUGAUGGUGGUGAGAAGAGAGCCUUUGAUGAUGCACCCUCAGUGGAGGUCACAGGUAGAAGCGUGUCCUGAUCCCAGCAUGGUGAUGUUAAAACACACACAUCCAUAGUAAAUCAUCUACUAGCACUGAACUUAUGGAUGCAUGAUACAUCAUAAACAGUGUUAUAGUAUCCAAAAUAUUAUAAAUUAGUUCAAGAAAGAAGUAUUUCUAAAGAAGGACAUAUGACAAAAUCUGUGUUAUUAUUUUUUGUGGUUUUUAUCAUUAUUCUGCUAAUUCAGAGGCACCAGGGGCUUUACCAAGGCCAUAGAAAAGCAAAAUUAGAACAUAGGUUUAGGGACGAGUAUUUGGCUUAGUAGUUAAGAUGCUGCCUUGGCUGUCUAUGUUCCAAAUCAGAGUGCCUCGGUGAGAUCCACUGCUGAUUCCAGCUUUCUGCUUACGUGCACCCUGGGAGGCAGUCAUGACAGGACAAAUACUUGUGUCUCUGCCACCCAUGUGGGAUACCCAGAUAGAAUUCCAGGCUCUUGACUUUGGCUUCACCCAGACCUGGUUGUUGCAGAUAUUUGAGGAGUGAACCAGCAGACGGGAAUGCUUUCUCUCUGUCUUUCAAAUACUAAUAAAAGCAUAAACUUAUUUUGGUGAAAAAAAAGUGAAUAUGUAGAGUUUUUUUAAUGCACACUUCCCAUGAACUUUUUUAAGGUUCUAAAUAGUUUCUUUGUUUUCCAAAGAGAAAAGGAACAUUAGAACUUUUAAAGGUAAUAAAUAUUAAUAUCUAACUCAAUCAGCAUCAUUUUCCAACCUUUAAUAUUCAUUUUUACAAAAAGAUUUUUUUAUGAUUUAUUUUAUUUAUUUGAAAGACAGAGUUAAAGAGAGUUAGAGCCAGAGAGAGAGGUCUUCCAUCCAUUGGUUCACUCCUCAAAUGGCAGCAAUGCCAGAGCUCUGCUGAUCCAAAGCCAAUGAGCAGGAACAUCUUCCAGGUCUCCCACACAGGUGCAGGGGCCCAAGCACUUGGACCAUCUUCCACUGCCUCCCCAGGCUAUAGCAGAGAGCUGGAUUGGAAGUGGCGUAGCCGGGACUAGAACCAGAGCCCAUAUAGGAUGCUGGCACUGCAGGCCAGGGCUUUAACCGCUGCACCACAGCUCCAGCCCGUGUUAUUCUUACAUUUAACAUUUCUAACCUCUUGUGAGGAUUUUUAUUUUAAAAGAGAAAUUUAAAUUUCACAGCAAAGUAGUCAAAUAAUUCAAUUAUCUGCUACUUUUUUGUUCUAAAUAUGACAUGCAUUUCUGCCCUCAAGCACAUGAAACUGCUAUAGAUUAAAGUUUAGAUAGAUAGAUGGAUAGAUAGACAAACAUACAGACAUGUAGUGUUGAUGCAGAUAGAUAGGUAAAGUUAUGCUUCUGCAUUGUUAUACAUGGAUAUGCAGUGUAGCAUAUAUGUAUCUAUUGAGAGAGGGACACACACACACACACACACACACACAGACCUACUGCAUUCAUCUACCCAGGAACUGAGUCCAUGAUGCCCUCUGGUAUUUCUUACUCCUGUGGCCCUCAGGAGCAUGGAACAUCACACAUAGCACCCUGCACAUUUUCUUCCACCACUCAGUCUUUCAAGCACACAUGUCAUUGGAGAGCACCGCGGCAGAGCCUUUUAACACUGUACCGGUAAACGUCCUGAUACAGAAGGCAGCAUUCUUUGUCUGUCACCCAAGAUGUCCUGAAUCUAUAAAACAUGACGUAUGCCCAUCUUUUCCUAGGCCAGAAAUAUCCCAGAUGCUGCUGUCUGAUGCCACAGUCCUCUCUCCCAUCAGGUGCAUAAAGAUUUAUAAAGGAGGUUCUCCAGGUGCCACAGUGGAAAACCACACAGGUUUUCCCAAUUUGCUGUCACCUGCAGAAUAAGGAUCCCAAUGCAGGGCCCACGCUUAAAUUGUCUUGGAAAGCUACAUCUUUUUAAAACCUACUCUGAUUCUCCUACUUCGAGAUGGCUCUUGCUGCACAUAGUAUAAAAUCUAAACAUCCCAGCCAGCAGUGUUAAGUCCUUUCAAAAUAUUCUAAAUAGAGACUAUUUCAACUGCUGUUUCUUGCUACUUCCCAAAGGUAACUUUAUUUUAUCCAAGCAGGGCAAGAUGAAAUCCCUUAAAAACAUCCCUUUUCCAGUUCUCUCUAUUCUUGACCUCAACCGCAUUCCCCCACGUUUCCAAGCCACUGUCCCCAGUUCAUACCUAAGCAGGUGUAUCUCACUUCCCUUUGCUCUCUGCAGGUUUCCUUCAACUCAACCUAUAGGAACUUCUCCAUGUCAGCAUCAGUGUAUCAGUGUGGAGUACUGGCCUGCUGUCAUGACCUGAACAGUGUCCAGGAUGUGACUUCCUCCAGCCAACUCUGCAGGGUCCUCUCUCACAACCAUGACGGUGAUGACAGCAGUCAUCAUUAUCAUAAGAAUGAGUGUGUCUGCUAGAACACAGUUCAUACAGAACCAUGAGUCUUAUGUAAUCCUCACCACAGCCUCACGAGGCUGCUGUAUUCCCAGAUUGGAGGGAUGGUGACACUCAAUCUGAGAAAGGUUAAAUAAUGUGUCAGAACUGUUAUUUCGAAGGGGUGAGAUUCAAUUUCAGGUCUUUCUGAUUCCAAAGGUCAUGAUCUUCCUUCUGUGCAAAGAUCUGUGUUAAAUAAUGAGAGACCUUCCAAAGGAAAAGCUACAUGAUGCCUGGACUCAAGUGGUUAACAAUCUAAUUGAGACAGAGAUAACACAUUUGUCUGGCAGGAAACCAAAUCAGGCAGGAGGUUUUCCCCAUGGAGGACUGGCCUUGUGUUGUCUCAAAUGCAGGAAAAACCAGGACUUUUGCUUUGAAAAUGGGGGAUAAAGCAGCAUAGUGGGUGUUACAUCUGGUUGCCCUAUCACACACAAGUUAGUUUAUAAAACAGAAUACAUACUGCCUAAUGUGCCUACCUGAGAUUGUGGGAUCAAACGACACUAAGCAUGUAAACCACGAAGGUGUUUAUAUUUAAACACAUUCUAUGGAAACACAUAAACAUACAUUAAAUAGUCUAUAUACUGCCCUAUAUCUUAGAGAAGGCCAAAAAAUAAAAACAUACAUAUAAACACUAAAAUAAAUAAGUGUCAUGGUGAGUUCUGGUAUGGCAAAUGCCCCAUCACUGCUCCAAUUGUCCUCUUCUGCAACGUCUUCACCCCUGUCCUUUCUUCUGCCCCGUCUCUAUUUCUUCCCCCACCUCCAUAUGGCCAUCUGUGUUUUGGUGCAGCUUUGUCCCAUACAUAUCCUCUGCAUGAGUCCCCCUUCAGCCUUCUGAGCACUGAUGAAGCACUAAUCACUUUGCUUUGUCCAAGGCCACCAUGCACUGUGAACACAAGCCAUUCCACCAGCUUUUGGGGUCACCUCAGUCAUGUGUGUCCCAGUUCCUUUACUCAACUGUCCACUUCUCUAUCAGAGAUUGACUCCAUGUUGGUAGCACUUUACACAUCAAAUCCCACCCGCUCUACUCUCAAUAGGAAUCUUCAGCUUCCGCUUGCUGGAACUGUUCAACACAAUGCCCAAUGAGUUCCUUCAGUUUCUCCCUUUCUUCCUCAAUUUUGAUCUUCCACCAAGACCUUGCGCCACCUCCCCCCAUAAGGAGGAAAUGUACCUUUUGCUGACAACACCACAGCCUCUGGCAAAACUCCCACCACUUAUUUAUUGUAUAUUAUUCUCCUACAUUU